rnacentral:ncRNA from 1 species
CUGCGAUAAUGGCAAACCCAGUGAGAGUUGGGGACGCAAAGCCACGGGUCUGACCACAGAAUGUGAAGAUAGCCGGGUUAUCGAA